CCUACGGGAGGCAGCAGUGGGGAAUAUUGGACAAUGGGGGGAACCCUGAUCCAGCGACGCCGCGUGAGUGAAGAAGUAUUUCGGUAUGUAAAGCUCUAUCAGCAGGGAAGAAAGAAAUGACGGUACCUGACUAAGAAGCCCCGGCUAACUACGUGCCAGCAGCCGCGGUAAUACGUAGGGGGCAAGCGUUAUCCGGAUUUACUGGGUGUAAAGGGAGCGUAGACGGCGAUGCAAGUCUGAAGUGAAAGGCGGGGGCCCAACCCCCGGACUGCUUUGGAAACUGGAUGGCUGGAGUGCGGGAGAGGUAAGUGGAAUUCCUGGUGUAGGGGUGAAAUGCGUAGAUAUUAGGAGGAACACCAGUGGCGAAGGCGGCUUACUGGACUGUAACUGACGUGGAGGCUCGAAAGCGUGGGGAGCAAACAGGAUUAGAUACCCGGGUAGUC
rnacentral:rRNA from 1 species